GCGUUUCUGUCUGAGAAGAACUAAAAUGGGCUCAUGGCUCCUAUGCUAUUUUCUGUCUUAAACCAUGAUGGUUCAUCGUAUGAAGACAGCAACCCUCGAUAAUACCCCUCUUGCGCUUCUUCCUUCUGUUGGAGCCUGAAUCUCUGAAAGUGCUAAAAUUUCUUCAUCCAGAUUAGAACAUGUCGCUGGGUACAAUGGCGGAGA
rnacentral:lncRNA from 1 species